GGCGGAGGGUGAGUAACACGUAGGUAACCUGCCCUGAAGAGGGGGACAACCCCGCGAAAGCGGGGCUAAUACCCAUAAGACCACUGGGAUAAAAGGAGCGCUUCAGGAUGGGCCUGCGGCCUAUCAGGUAGUUGGUGGGGUAACGGCCCACCAAGCCAGAGACGGGUAGCCGGUCUGAGAGGACGAACGGCCACACUGUUUCUGAGACACGGUCCAGACUCCUACGGGAGGCAGCAGUGGGGAAUAUUGCACAAUGGGGGAAACCCUGAUGCAGCGACGCCGCGUGGAGGAUGAAGGCCUUCGGGUUGUAAACUCCUUUUGUAAGGAACGAUUGACGGUACCUUACGAAUAAGCCACGGCUAACUCUGUGCCAGCAGCCGCGGUAAGACAGAGGUGGCGAGCGUUGUUCGGAAU
rnacentral:rRNA from 1 species